AUGGCGAAUAGUUGGACUUUGACGGUGAUUGUCCUCCUAAGCAUCUUUAUGGCGAGAAGUCAGACAAGAGAUUUCAAAGAGCAGAACUUUAUUCAAGGCAGUGAUGUGAUUUUACAGUGUGGCAAUGCCACUGUUAUCAGUUGGAAUGAAUUAAUUUAUAUUGUCUGGAACAUCAGCCUGGAAGGCAGAAAAUGUUGGCUGGGUUUGUCACCCAAGCUGGACGACACAUGUAAAGAUGGAAAGAGGCUGUUAAACACCUCAGAUGGAGUUUCUUUAGUCAUUCCCAAGAUUUCAACAAGAGAUGAAGGAUUUUAUUCGUGUGAUGUAUCAUAUAAAGCAGGAAGCUAUGCUGUAAAUGUGUCUGUAAGCGUUACCCAACUUUUCACCAAGCAGAGUGAAAACAAUCAAAGGAUUGCUGUCUGUCAGGCCACAUACACACAAAAGACAGCACCCACUCUUCACUGGGAACCUGCCUUGAACUUUUCCUCCAGUAACAGUUCUGUAAAGAAGCAUGGCAGGUUUUUUACGAUGGAGAAUCAAGUAUAUCUGCCGGACAAUGUCAACAUCAGUGAGCUCAUCUGUGUGGCCACAUACUCCUCCGAGUCCGGCUCUGUUCAGCACAAGAGCACACUUCAUCUUAAAAUUUCACACAGCGGAACACAAGAAACUUCCUCUUUUCCAGUGAAAAUUAUUGCCAUAUCAGUUGGUUCUACAUGUAUUUUUUUUUUUGUUGUAUCUCUGGCCGUGGUUUACAUACUCCGCAGAAAGCUUUACAACUUAAGUGCACUGAAGAUGCUUUGCUGCAAAUCUAAAAUCUCAACACCAUCUGAAGACAAACCACCCCAACCCGCUGAUGUUGAAGAGGUGGAACCCUAUGCAAGCUACAUACAGAGAGUCAACUCCAUCUACAACUCCUCAGCUGAGCUCUUCAACGCCUGA
ensembl:lncRNA